rnacentral:tRNA from 1 species
GCUGCCGUAGCUCAGUUGGCCAGAGCGCCUGGUUGUGGACCAGGAGGUCAUGGGUUCAAGCCCCAUCGGCAGUA